UUAGGUGGCCAUGGCGACGGGGCCCACACCUUCCCAUACCGAACAGGAUCGUUAAGCCCGUCAGCGCCGAUGGUACUGCCCGAAAGGGUGGGAGAGUAGGUCGCCGCCUUCC
rfam:Muricauda lutaonensis strain CC-HSB-11, complete genome.